AUUUCUAGAGAUAGAAAGUUACUUCGGUACAUCGGUGACAGGUGGUGCAUGGCUGUCGUCAGCUCGUGUCGUGAGAUGUUGGGUUAAGUCCCGCAACGAGCGCAACCCUUAUCAUUAGUUGCUACGCAAGGGCACUCUAAUGAGACUGCCGGUGACAAACCGGAGGAAGGUGGGGAUGACGUCAAGUCCUCAUGGCCUUUAUGACCAGGGCUACACACGUACUACAAUGGCCGGUACAAAGGGCAGCCACUUAGCGAUAAGGAGCCAAUCCCGUAAAGCCGGUCUCAGUCCGGAUUGGAGUCUGCAACUCGACUCCAUGAAGUUGGAAUCGCUAGUAAUCGCAGAUCAGCACGCUGCGGUGAAUACGUUCCCGGGUCUU
rnacentral:rRNA from 1 species